rnacentral:rRNA from 1 species
AUUGAACGCUGGCGGCAGGCCUAACACAUGCAAGUCGAACGAGUGGCGGACGGGUGAGUAAUGUCUGGGAAACUGCCUGAUGGAGGGGGAUAACUACUGGAAACGGUAGCUAAUACCGCAUACCAUCGGAUGUGCCCAGAUGGGAUUAGCUUGUAGGUGGCGUAAAGGCUCACCUAGGCGACGAUCCCUAGCUGGUCUGAGAGGAUGACCAGCCACCCUGGAACGGAGCAACGGUCCAGACUCCUACGAGAGGCAGCAGUGGGGAAUAUUGAACAAUGGGCGGAAGCCUGAUGCAGCCAUGCCGCUUGUAUGAAGAAGGCCUUCGGGUUGUAAAGUACUUUCAGCGGGGAGGCGUUACCCGCAGAAGCAGCACCGGCUAACUCCUUGCCAGCCGCCGCGGUAAUAC